rnacentral:misc_RNA from 1 species
UAAAAUUAAGCAAAAAUAUUUUCACUUACCCUCAAUAAAUAAAUUUUAGUUAUUAUUUUUCCCUCCUUAGUUAUGUGUUAAUUAAUAUUUCCUUUCUAGCAUAACUUAUGCUGAUUUGGGAUUUUUAUUAUUAGUAAGAUUCUAAUAAAUUUUGUGUUAAAUCUUUUUUUAUAAAAGUGGUCUCUUGAAUUAAUAAAAUUAAGCAAA